rnacentral:lncRNA from 12 species
AUGGCAGGAUUUUUUUUUUCUUUCCCAAGCCUUUUUCACAGAUGUAAUUAUAAUUCUUUUCACCUUCCCCAGAGAGAUCGUCUUGAGUAUUGUAAAGAUUGUGUGAAACUUGAGACCUUACAGGGAACUUUAUUAUCGUGGCCGCGUCUCCCCCUCCUUCGCCACGUUCAGGGCUGGCCUGGGGACGGUAGCUCUGCAGAGCAUCGGGCCUGCGGUUUGCCCCGCGGACCAUUCACGGAAACUCGCCACAUCAUAAACCCUGCAGGAUGUUUCUCUUGGGGCCUUUUCUUCUCUUGCCACCUCGGUCUUCACCCUGGCCUCCUGGGUUCCUGGCUGCCACCACUGCAGAUCUGUGGUCCGCCUGCGAGGCAGCAGGACCUGAAGCCCUCGCGAAAGCUGCUCGUUAAUUCACUUGAUGGGCCGACUCCAGAUGCAGCCAGACCCAUUAGGAGACAAUGGUUCAUUUGGUGCCUCAGCUCCUCUGUAAUGAAGCGAGAAUAUGUGGGGUCCCCCGGCUGCUGGGAUGAAGCACAGGGAGGGGAGGCACCCCCCGCCCCCUGCAAGACUUGGCUCCCGCCUUGAAAUAGAAUUGGAAUCAGAGGGUCCAGACACCUCCUCUCUCGGAGUCGCGCACGUCGCACCCCCGGAGAGAGACGGGGCCGUUCCCCUCCAUCCUGCAGCCGAGCCUGUCCUGCAUUCGAACUGUCUGGUGGCGUCCCUACCGUUCGGAGGGGGUGAGAUCGGGGCUCUCGGGCACGAGCUGGGAGAACCUUCUGUCUGGCUGCAGACUCCGUGCGGCCUCAUCUGUCUCCAGCGUCCACCGUUCCCGUCGGAUCAGACCCCCUCCUCCACCAGCACGUGCCCUUUGCUUUCUUCACCACGUGAAGAAAAUCUUUGCAAAUCUAAUUUCCUCAACCUAAAAUGCCCUGCUUUGCCGUCACCGUAUCAGUCCAUCAGAAUCCUACAUGAAAGACCCAGGAAAAUGUCAUGUCCGCGCCAUAAAAUAUUCUUAUUUCCUCUAACAGAAAGUAAUUUCCUGUUAUUAUUUGUCUUCUUAUUCUAUUCAACCUGGACUUGAGGUUGUAUAAUUGUGUUUCUUAAAAGUCUCUCAUUACAGGAUUGUGAACUCCCUGCAUGGGGUCACCACUUUCUUGUUCAUCUCUCUCCUCCGGGCUGCCUCAUAUGGAAUCUUGAGUAUCUGAGGGACUCUGGAAGUGUUUGCAUUGAACGCCAUCCUCUGCUAGUCUCCAGAUCUGUUCUAUAUGCUGUGCCGCCCUAGGACUACGCCGAGCACUGAUUCUAAGAGGAUAUGGGUUUUCCUUAGGGUCACCUCCUCCGAGGUUUGGAAGAGGCUCCAGACGUCUCUAACUCGCACUGUAUAAUUCAAUACGGAUCGCCGAAUUGUCUCGAGCCUUUUGGUAGACCCAAACUGAACCAUCCUGCAGGGGAUUUACGUCUCAUUUAUUCGCCUUCUGUAUACUGCUGCCUAAAGCUUGAUUGGCAAGGUGGUACGGGAGGCCUUCUCACUUACCCUCUGGCCUGUACCCCAGAAGCAGCUAAGCCAGCCCCGAGCCCCGAGAGGGCUCAGUCACAUUCACCUCCUAGAGAUCAAGCUGUACCAUCCCUCCUCCCUCUUCCUUCCUGACCCAGCAGGUAGCUGAUAACAUCAAACAUGUUUUAUUAGGAAAAUGUAUUCCUGGACGCUCAUUUUUUAAAAAUUUAUUUGUCCAUUUAUUCAUUCUCAUAUUCAUUAAAUAUGAAUUGAACACAUAGCAUGUGAUUAUUAAAUAUCUAGUCUACCCAUGCAUUCCCCUGCAAAAAAAACAAAAAACAAAAAAACUCACCCCAAUCAACAAAAAACCCAGAAAACUAUUUGAUGUCUUUCAAUUAUACACAAAAUAAAAUUAAAUUUCUUACCUUGCCA